AUUGAACGCUGGCGGCAGGCCUAACACAUGCAAGUCGAGCGAGCGGCGGACGGGUGAGUAAUGUAUGGGGACUGCCCGAUAGAGGGGGAUCACCACUGGAAACGGUCGCUAAUACCGCAUUCUAUUGGAUAACAUAUAUGGGAUUAGCUAGUAGGUGGGGUAAAGGCUCACCUAGUCCACGAUCUCUAGCUGGUCUGAGAGGAUUAUCAGCAACACGGUGACUGAUACACGGCCCAGACUCCGACGGAGGCAGCAGUGGGGAAUAGUGCACAAUGGGCGCAAGCCUGAUGCAGCCAUGCCGCGGGUAUGAAGAAGGCCCUAGGGUUGUAAAGUACUUUCAGUGGGGAGGCGUUACCCGCAGAAGAAGCACCGGCUAACUCCGUGCCAGCAGCCGCGGUAAUUC
rnacentral:rRNA from 1 species